rnacentral:pre_miRNA from 1 species
AUAGUACUCCCUCUGUCCGAAUUUUUUUGUCCCAAUCUUGUUCCUCAAAUGGAUGUAUGUAGCAGUAACUUGGUGCUAGAUACAUCCAUUUGAGGGACAAGGUUUUUCGGACGGAGGGGGUAGUAG